UGGGGAAUCUUCCGCAAUGGGCGAAAGCCUGACGGAGCAAUGCCGCGUGGAGGUAGAAGGCCCACGGGUCGUAAACUCCUUUUCUCGGAGAAGAAGCAGUGACGGUAUCCGAAGAAUAAGCAUCGGCUAACUCUGUGCCAGCAGCCGCGGUAAGACAGGGGAUGCAAGCGUUAUCCGGAAUGAUUGGGCGUAAAGCGCCUGUAGGUGGCUCCUUAAGUCCGCUGUCAAAUCCCAGGGCUCAACCCUGGACAGGCGGUGGAAACUACUAAGCUGGAGUACGGUAGGGGCAGGGGGAAUUUCCGGUGGAGCGGUGAAAUGCGUAGAGAUCGGAAAGAACACCAAAGGCGAAGGCACCCUGCUGGGCCGAAACUGACACUGAGAGACGAAAGCUAGGGGAGCGAAUGGG
rnacentral:rRNA from 1 species